rnacentral:rRNA from 1 species
AUGGAAGGCAUUGCUCGCAGGAGGGAUGAUCUGGAAAGCUAUCUGAGAAGUCUUGCCAAAAAGUUGUUCAUCAAGCUUGAAGAGUUUUGCCAGAACUUUGAAGAGGAGACUGGGCGGAUCGAACCAGGUUUGGAUCCAAUCAACUCUCCCGUGAAAGAUGAAACUGCCAUGAAUCUGCUCCGUCUGGAAUCUCGCAUCGACAGUGCCGUGGACUACUUGGCUCGACUGAAGGUCGCCAUGUCGCGGAUUGACCCAGCACUUUGGCCAGAGGCUGUGCUCCCAAAUGAUAUCGAGUCCCUGAUGACUCGACUAAAUGAAAUUCCCGACCGAGUGCAGGAGUGGAAGAAGUCUGCUGCUUGGUGUGGCGCUGACGUGGCUCUGUCUUUGGUUUGUGUCCACUGCAAGGAGGUGCGACAGGACAAACUAGCAGCAAUCAAGGUCGCCAAAACCCAGAAGCAUGACUUCCGAACCUUUAUGGAGACUUCCAUUGCUGCAGCCACUCGGAUAGCCGACGGCGUCGACCUGGAUGAGUUCGUCGAGCCUGCCAGCCCUCCUCCCGCGGAGUGA